rnacentral:rRNA from 1 species
CGACCGGCGCACGGGUGAGUAACACGUAUGCAACCUGGCCGUCACAGGUGGAUAACCGGAAGAAAUUCCGACUAAUACAGCAUAACACUCCUGAGGGACAUCCCUUGGGAGUCAAAAGGAGGCAACUCCGGUGACGGAUGGGCAUGCGGCGCAUUAGGUAGUUGGUAGGGUAACGGCCUACCAAGCCGACGAUGCGUAGGGGUUCUGAGAGGAAGGUCCCCCACAUUGGAACUGAGACACGGUCCAAACUCCUACGGAAGGCAGCAG